CAGCCGCCGCGGUAACACGUAGGUGGCAAGCGUUGUCCGGAAUUAUUGGGCGUAAAGGGCUCGCAGGCGGUUUCUUAAGUCUGAUGUGAAAGCCCCCGGCUCAACCGGGGAGGGUCAUUGGAAACUGGGAAACUUGAGUGCAGAAGAGGAGAGUGGAAUUCCACGUGUAGCGGUGAAAUGCGUAGAGAUGUGGAGGAACACCAGUGGCGAAGGCGACUCUCUGGUCUGUAACUGACGCUGAGGAGCGAAAGCGUGGGGAGCGAACAGGAUUAGAUACCCGAGUAGUCCCUGUCUCUUAUAC
rnacentral:rRNA from 1 species